ensembl:snRNA U4 U4 spliceosomal RNA
AGCUUUGCGCAGUGGCAGUAUCAUAGCCAAUGAGGUUUAUCUGAGGCAUGAUCAUUGCUAAUUGAAAACUUAGAAAAAUUAGCUUGUUUUGAAAUUUUUGCUUUUAGAAGAAUAUUGUGAUAAUAUUAUUCUAAAU